rnacentral:lncRNA from 1 species
GGAGGCGUCCUUCAGUUGGCCCCUUAACAAAUAUAUACUAUAUAUAUAUAUAUAUAUAUAGUCCAGUGAUAAUGAACGCCAUACUAAUUUCCAAAUUGUACACAAGAAACCAAAAUUAAAAUAAUACAAGACUAACAAAGGCCAGAGACUCCUGACUUGGAACAGGCGCAAACAUGUUUAUGAUCUCAACCUCCCCCUAUACCUCUAGC